rnacentral:tRNA from 1 species
GGGCCGGUAGCUUAAUUGGUAGAGCACUACAUUCGCAUUGUAGAGGUUAGGAGUUCAAGUCUCCUUCGGUCCACCA